rnacentral:rRNA from 1 species
CCUACGGGAGGCAGCAGUGGGGAAUAUUGCACAAUGGGGGAAACCCUGAUGCAGCGACGCCGCGUGAGUGAGGAAGUAUUUCGGUAUGUAAAGCUCUAUCAGCAGGGAAGAAAAUGACGGUACCUGACGAAGAAGCCCCGGCUAACGACGUGCCAGCAGCCGCGGGAAGACGUAGGGGGCAAGCGUUAGCCGGAUUUACUGGGUGUAAAGGGAGCGUAGACGGCUAAUCAAGUCAGCAGUGAAAACCCAGGGCUCAACUUUGGGACUGCUUUUGAAACUGAGUAGCUAGAGUGCAGGAGCGGUAAGCGGAAUUCCUAGUGUAGCGGUGAAAUGCGUAGAUAUUAGGAGGAACACCAGUGGCGAAGGCGGCUUACUGGACUGUAACUGACGUUGCGUCUCGAAAGCGUGGGGAGCAAACAGGAUUAUAUACCCGGGUAGUC